GAUGAAGAACGCAGCGAAAUGCGAUACUUGGUGUGAAUUGCAGAAUCCCGUGAACCAUCGAGUCUUUGAACGCAAGUUGCGCCCGAAGCCAUUAGGCCGAGGGCACGCCUGCCUGGGCGUCACACGUCGUUGCCCCCCCAUCUACUCCUUCGGGAUUGCGGGGGGCGGAUGAUGGCCUCCCGUGCGCCUCGUCGCGCGGUUGGCAUAAAUGCCAAGUCCUCGGCGACGCACGCCACGACAAUCGGUGGUUGCGAAACCUCGGUUGCCCGUCGUGUGCGGUCGUCGCGCAUCGAGGGCUCGAAAAAAUUGCCGGGCUCCGGCUCGGCUUUCAACGCGACCCCAGGUCAGGCGGGGUUACCCGCUGAGUUUAAGCAUAUCAAUAAGCGGAGGA
rnacentral:misc_RNA from 1 species